rnacentral:misc_RNA from 1 species
GUAACAAGGUCUCCGUUGGUGAACCAGCGGAGGGAUCAUUACAGAGUUACUACUCCAAACCCAUUGUGAACCUUACCUAUGUUCUGUUGCCUCGGCGGCGCGGUCAGCGUCCCCACGGACGACGGCCCCCGCCGGCAGCACCAAACUCUUGAAUUUUACAGCGGAUUACAGUUCUGAUUUGAAACAAAAAAACAAGUUAAAACUUUCAACAACGGAUCUCUUGGUUCUGGCAUCGAUGAAGAACGCAGCGAAAUGCGAUAAGUAAUGUGAAUUGCAGAAUUCAGUGAAUCAUCGAAUCUUUGAACGCACAUUGCGCCCGGCAGUAAUCUGCCGGGCAUGCCUGUCCGAGCGUCAUUUCAACCCUCGAACCUCUGUUUCCUCAGGGAAGCUCAGGGUCGGUGUUGGGGCGCUACGGCGAGUCUUCGCGACCCCCGUAGGCCCUGAAAUACAGUGGCGGUCCCGCCGCGGUUGCCUUCUGCGUAGUAAGUCUCUUUUGCAAGCUCGCAUUGGGUCCCGGCGGAGGCCUGCCGUCAAACCACUAUAACUCCAGAUGGUUUGACCUCGGAUCAGGUAGGGUUACCCGCUGAACUUAAGCAUAUCA